rnacentral:lncRNA from 1 species
AGCAGUUUCGUUUACUCGCAGCUGCCGCUGAAAUGGCGCUUUGUUGCGUAGUUGCGUUUCCUUUUCACCAUAGUUACGCUCGUUCGCUAAUAAUUAAAGUAAUUAAUUAAGAGACGUUUCACACUUCAGGUUUUAAGGAAAGGUGCAUCGUUACUAGCAGAGCCCGUGAGACCGAGCGAAUUUGGUGGAUUGGCCACUCUUGGACUCUGGUUUGGAAUGGAGGGAGUUCGGCAAUCGCUUGAAAGACGACAUGUGUUGAAUGUUUUGCCACCUUGCCUGCGGUCUUUGCUGUUGUUGUUGUCAUGGAGAGUUCACUGCGCACACCCUCAGUUGUGGAUACAGUCUUCGGUUGUUGUGAUGUGUCCAAAGUGUUCGGGAAAGAACGAAGUGGUGGUUCGGCGGCAGCGUAAACACUACACGGAUGUGCACACGGCCGUUGACGACAAACCAGUGCUGGCAAGCUUGUUCGAACUUUGACGAGGAGCACGAAAAUAUUGUGAACCACUCACCGAGUAGGGCAGGAAAUGUUCACUGAGUUUGACCUACUGAGGUCAAUGCUGAUUGAAGUUUUGAAGUUGUCCUGUGUCGUGUUCUCGUAGAACGUUUGUUGACGCACUAUCUCUAGCCGUUUUUUGCAUGCGUAAAAUGAAUCUCACUUCAGCGAACUACGUAAAAACCGCCAUCUUUACACUACGUUCCAUAAAUUCGCAUUUGUUUCGUUUUAUCGCGCAAAUCGGAUGUUAGGUGUGCACACAGAUUGUGACGUGUCAGUAUGCGGAUUGUUUCCCGGACAAAUUUUUGAUCAAGGAGGUAUAUCUGCCUGCUGCAUACUGGAACCUGGGCUACAGUCCGGGUAUUCCGUAUUCCUCAAAAAAAAGCAGUGUUUAGACGCUGCAUAAAAAUGGGACACCGAUAUUUUUAACGACCUCCUCAUGCACUCUUGCUUGGCCGGGGUGGGUCGCCGCCGUGGUUGGCCACCCCUUUCUAACUCGUACAGAGGGAGGCGUCUGCUGCGGUGCCCAAUGUGCCAGUAUACCACACCUUACUCCGCAGUCCAUGCAGCAUCACCAGAGAAAGCACACGGGAGAGCGCCCAUUCAAGUGCGACCACUGUGGCAAGGCCUUCACGCUUAAGUGGAACAUGGUCGUCCACCAACGCAUCCACACCGGCGAGAGAGCUUACCAGUGCCACCUUUGCCCCAAGAAUUUUGCGCAGCAGAGCAGCCUUUUGCGCCAUUUGAAAACUCACUGAGGCAGGAAGUGUUUGCCUGAUGCUGUUUCUGUGUACUGUUGCAGAAGGGUCUGAGGAGACGCAUUAGAUGUGCUG